rnacentral:rRNA from 1 species
UACGGAGGGUGCAAGCGUUAUCCGGAUUCACUGGGUUUAAAGGGUGCGUAGGCGGCCGUGUAAGUGUGGUGUGAAAUCUCCCGGCUUAACUGGGAGGGUGCGCUACAGACUGCAUGGCUAGAGUGUGGGAGAGGAAAGUGGAAUUCCUGGUGUAGCGGUGAAAUGCGUAGAUAUCAGGAGGAACACCGGUGGUGUAAACGGCUUUCUGGACCAUAACUGACGCUGAUGCACGAAAGCGUGGGUAGCAAACAGG